rnacentral:rRNA from 1 species
GACGAACGCUGGCGGCGUGCUUAACACAUGCAAGUCGAACGGAAAGGCCCCUUUUGGGGUACUCGCGUGGCGGACGAGUGGGUAACACGUGCGUAACCUACCCUUGACUUCGGGAUAACUUCCGGCAACUAGGGGUAAUACCGGCUAGGAAUCCUUGCUGCCUGGAGGGGGUUGGAAAGCUUCGGCGGGUUUGGAUGGACUCGCGGCCUGUCAGCUUGUUGGUGGGGUAGUGGCUUACCUAGGCUUUGACGGGUAGCCGGCCUGAGAGGGCGACCGGCCACAUUGGGACUGAGAUACGGCCCAGACUCCCACGGGAGGCAGCAGGUGGGAAUAUUGCACAAUGGGCGGAAGCCUGAUGCAGCAACGCCGCGGGCGGGAUGACGGGCUUCGGGUUGUAAACCGCUUUCAGCAGGGGCGAAGCUUGUGGUGACGGUACCUGCAGAAGAAGCACCGGCUAACUACGUG